ensembl:lncRNA
GUGACAGGACUGGCGUGGUAUACCAUCUACAUCGGAAUAUCAGUGGGAGGCGCUGUGGUGCUGAUCCUCACUGUAGCUGUGGCAGUGUGCUACUGCAGGGGCCAAAGUAACACAGAAGAUCUAAUUGACAACACAAUAUAUGCUGAUGUUAUGGACAACACAAGAAGUAGAGAUACAAGAUCAAACAGUCAUGUAAACCCAGUAUCCAUCUACGAAACUGUCAAUGAUCUGGUUAUCCCAAGAUUGAACAAGUUUCUUCUAGAUUAUCUGUCACAUGUAGCUGCAGACUCUGUAUGACAAGAUCACAUUUGGACGCCCAGAAGGCCCCCCUUUUCCGCUUUGAGGACAAUACAGUGCCACUGACAUGGCCCGCUACCAAAACCUGCGGACUCUCCUUCACUGCAGCCGACGUGAGUAAAACAUUUAAGCGUGUUAACCCUCGCAAGGCUGCAGGCCCAGAUGGCAUCCCCAGCCGCAUCCUCAGAGCAUGCACAGACCAGCUGUGUUUACGGACAUAUUCAAUCAAUCCUUAUCCCAGUCUGUUGUUCCCACAUGCUUCAAGAGGGCCACCAUUGUCCCUGUUCCCAAGAACGCUAAGGUAACUGAGCUAAAGGACUACCGCCCCGUAGCACUCACUUCCGUCAUCAUGAAGUGCUUUGAGAGACUAGUCAAGGACCAUAUCACCUCCACCCUACCUGACACCCUAGACCCACUCCAAUUUGCUUACUGCCCAAAUAGAUCCACCGACGACGCGAUCGCAACCACACUGCACACUGCCCUAACCCAUCUGGACAAGAGGAAUACCUAUGUGAGAAUGCUGUUCAUCGACUACAGCUCAGCAUUUAACACCAUAGUACCCUCCAAACUCGUCAUCAAGCUCGAGACCCUGGGUCUCGACCCCGCCCUGUGCAACAGGGUACUGGACUUCCUGACGGGCCGCCCCCAGGUGGUGAGGGUAGGUAACAACCUCUCCACCCCGCUGAUCCUCAACACUGGGGCCCCACAAGGGUGCGUUCUGAGCCCUCUCCUGUACUCCCUGUUCACCCACGACUGUGAGGCCAUGCACGCCUCCAACUCAAUCAUCAAGUUUGCGGACGACACUACAGUGGUAGGCGCGAUUACCAACAACGACGAGUCGGACUACAGGGAGGAGGUGAGGGCCCUGGAGUGUGGUGUCAGGAAAAUAACCUCACACUCAACGUCAACAAAACAAAGGAGAUGAUUGUGGACUUCAGGAAACAGCAGAGGGAGCACCCCCGUAUCCACAUCGACGGAACAGUAGUAGAGAGGGUAGUAAGUUUUAAGUUCCUCGGCGUACACAUCACGGACAAACUGAAUUGGUCCACCCACACAGAAGGCGUCGUGAAGAAGGCGCAGCAGCGCGUCUUCAACCUCAGGAGGCUGAAGAAAUUUGUCUUGUCACCAAAAGCACUCACAAACUUUUACAUAUGCACAAUCGAGAGCAUCCUGUCGGGCUGUAUGACUGCCUGGUACGGCAACUGCUCCGCCCACAACCGUAAGGCUCUCCAGAGGGUAGUGAGGUCUGCACAACGCAUCACCCCCGGGGGCAAACUACCUGCCCUCCAGGACACCUACACCACCCGAUGUCACAGGAAGGCCAUAAAGAUCAUCAAGGACAACAACCACCCGAGCCACUGCCUGUUCAUCCCGCUAUCAUCCAGAAGGCGAGGUCAGUACAGGUGCAUCAAAGCAGGGACCGAGAGACUGAAAAACUGCUUCUAUUUCAAGGCCAUCAGAUUGUUAAACAGCCACCACUAACAUUGAGUGGCAUGUAUCACUAAUAAUACAUGUAUCACUAGCCACUUUAAACUAUGCCACUUUGUUUACAUACCCUACAUUACUCAUCUCAUAUGUAUAUACUGUACUCAAUACCAUCUACUGCAUCUUGCCUAUGCCGUUCUGUACCAUCACUCAUUCAUAUACCUUUAUGUCCAUAUUCUUUAGCCCUUUACACUUGUUUUGGAAUUGUUAGGUUAGAUUACUCGUUGGUUAUUACUGCAUUGUCGGAACUAGAAGCACAAGCAUUUCGCUACACUCGCAUUAACAUCUGCUAACCAUGUGUAUGUGACCAAUAAAAUUAGAUUUGAUUUGAUUUAGUAGGCGUGGUGAUCAGACAAGCUCAUAUGUAUAUUUCUUGAUUAAAGAAAAGAGUUGUAGAUAAUAGUGUGACAUUGAUUAGUGA